UACGUAGGGUGCAAGCGUUUGUCCGGAAUUAUUGGGCGUAAAGAGCUCGUAGGCGGUCUGUCGCGUCGAAUGUGAAAACCCGGGGCUCAACCCCGGGCCUGCAUUCGAUACGGGCAGACUAGAGUUCGGUAGGGGAGUCUGGAAUUCCUGGUGUAGCGGUGAAAUGCGCAGAUAUCAGGAGGAACACCGGUGGCGAAGGCGGGACUCUGGGCCGAUACUGACGCUGAGGCACGAAAGCGUGGGGGAGCAAACAGG
rnacentral:rRNA from 1 species